rnacentral:rRNA from 1 species
CCUACGGGAUGCAGCAGUGAGGAAUAUUUGUCAAUGGACGCAAGUCUGAACCAGCCAUGCCGCGUGCAGGAAGACGGCUCUAUGAGUUGUAAACUGCUUUUGUACGAGGGUAAACGCAGAUACGUGUAUCUGUCUGCACGUAUCGUACGAAUAAGGAUCGGCUAACUCCGUGCCAGCAGCCGCGAUAAUACGGAGGAUUCAAGCGUUAUCCGGAUUUAUUGGGUUUAAAGGGUGCGUAGGCGGUCGGAUAAGUUAGAGGUGAAAUCCCGAGGCUCAACUUCGGAAUUGCCUCUGAUACUGUUCGGCUAGAGAGUAGUUGCGGUAGGCGGAAUGUAUGGUGUAGCGGUGAAAUGCUUAGAGAUCAUACAGAACACCGAUUGCGAAGGCAGCUUACCAAGCUACGUCUGACGUUGAGGCACGAAAGCGUGGGGAGCAAACAGGAUUAGAUACCCGUGUAGUC